rnacentral:lncRNA from 1 species
UCCACUCCAUAACCGCCGACCAUUCACAAAUCCAUCCGUUCACCAGUCCGUUCAUCAUCGAGACCACUUCCGACGCCUCCACUCACCGUCCGUCGCCGUCUGGUUAUUUCAGAACAGAAACUCUAUUCUUAUCGUCUCUGCCUACAAAAUCUGAUUUGAAUCCAUAUUAACCAAUUUUCAGUUCUUCUCUGUUGAUUAAUUCCAGCCAAAAGUUAGUCUCCGUUUGGGUUAAUUCCGGCCAGAAAUUCUGUCUCCAUCUUCACUGUCUACGAUACCGGAUUUGAUCUCGUAUCAGAAGUCUUUUUUCCAAUCACUUGAGACAACAUCGAAAAGGCGUUAAUCCUGCUGAACUAACAAUGGUUUUGUCUCUGUGAACACCAAUAGUUCAUAUAACUCCCUCAAAUGUGCUAGGGUAUGUGCCUUCCAAUGUGAAGUAAUUUGAUCGAUCAAUUCUCACACUGUUGAGAUGCUUUAUUUUAAUUAACGCCAGUUAUCAAGUAUUUGAUGCAAUCAACGACGUUGUCGGUAUCGAUCCAGUUGUUGUAGGUGGUGUGGAAGUCUGGUGAUACACAACCGACCGGAACUACUUUCACAGACGAGGAGAUUACGAUAUUCACGGGAGGAAUGCUAGAAGCCGACGAUAAGAUAAUAGAAGAGAGCAAGGACGAGAGGGAGGCGAGAUUGACACGAACCAACAAGCGAGCUCAGGUCGCGCCCAGGUGGACAAAGGAUUAUGACUUAAGCGGACCCAAAGCGUGAUUCCAAAUAAUGGAUUGGGAUAACACCAAUACCAACUACCCAAGGGGUAGUUUCCUAAAUUUUCCUAAGCUUUUUCCACCGCCUCACAUUUUGUAAAAUCCCCAUUAAUAUAACCGACUUAUGAGGCUAUAUAUAGCCAUACAUGUAACUUACUUUAGUAAGAAAUAUUACAUACAAUUUCACUGCCGUCAUCUUAAUUUUACCGCCUCCAUCCUCACGUUCCACAACCCAUCUUCCUAACGCAUCCGACCACCGGCCGAGCUUCCGUCCAUCGUGGCCCAGCCCUCCGUUCGUCGUAGCAUCUUCGCCACAGCUCCCUCGACCUUUCACGAACCUUCCUCUGAAGAGCCAGCCACCAUCGGUCUCUCCAACGAGGAAUCCAGUGAUA